ACGAACGCUGGCGGCAGGCUUAACACAUGCAAGUCGAACGCCCCGCAAGGGGAGUGGCAGACGGGUGAGUAACACGUGGGAACGUGCCCUAAGGUUUGGAAUAUUCCCGGGAAACUGGGAGCAAUACCAAAUGUGUCCGCAAGGAGAAAGAUUUAUCGCCUUAGGAUCGGCCCGCGUCAGAUUAGCUAGUUGGUGGGGUAAAAGCCUACCAAGGCGACGAUCUGUAGCUGGUCUGAGAGGACGACCAGCCACACUGGGACUGAGACACGGCCCAGACUCCUACGGGAGGCAGCAGUGGGGAAUCUUGGACAAUGGGCGAAAGCCUGAUCCAGCCAUGCCGCGUGGAUGAUGAAGGCCUUAGGGUUGUAAAAUCCUUUCGUUGGGGACGAUAAUGACGGUACCCAAAGAAGAAGCUCCGGCUAACUUCGU
rnacentral:rRNA from 1 species